rnacentral:rRNA from 1 species
AUUGAACGCUGGCGGCAUGCCUUACACAUGCAAGUCGAACGGUAACGCGGGGCAACCUGGCGACGAGUGGCGAACGGGUGAGUAAUGCAUCGGAACGUGCCCAGUUGUGGGGGAUAACUGCUCGAAAGAGCAGCUAAUACCGCAUACGACCUGAGGGUGAAAGCGGGGGAUCGCAAGACCUCGCGCAAUUGGAGCGGCCGAUGUCGGAUUAGCUAGUUGGUGGGGUAAAGGCCCACCAAGGCGACGAUCCGUAGCUGGUCUGAGAGGACGACCAGCCACACUGGGACUGAGACACGGCCCAGACUCCUACGGGAGGCAGCAGUGGGGAAUAUUGGACAAUGGGGGGAACCCUGAUCUAGCCAUGCCGCGUGUGUGAAGAAGGCCUUUUGGUUGUAAAGCACUUUAAGCGAGGAGGAGGCGCUCUAGGAUAAUACCCUAGAUGCGUGGACGUUACUCGCAGAAUAAGCACCGGCUAACUCUGUGCCAGCAGCCGCAGUAAUAC